CCGUCUUCUCCAUCCUUUGUCUUCGGCCACUUCCUGCGUUCAGCUCUCAUCAGUCCCAUCCUCCAUUCCCACCGCUGUCAUCGGCCCCUAGUCUACAAGGCUUACAGUGAAGGACUUCUACAACGCUCCAGGGAAUCGGUGCAAGAAUUUUUAUCCCCACUUUAUGGAAGAGGAAGCUAAGGCUCAUCCUAGUGUCCAUAGAGGGCUUCUAAUCCACAUCUUUUCCAAUUCUAAGUCCUGCCCUAUAAGACUGAAUUGCUACUAUUAGGUAUUGUUUUGUUUAGUUGUUUCUGUGUGUCAUUUCUUUCUACUAUAUUAUGAAUUCUAUUAUUUGGAGUUAAAAAAAAAACAAACAAAACCAAUCUGAGCUCUGAUUGUGGUUAUGCGAUUUAAUAAUUAUGAUCUUGGGCUAGUUAGAUUUCCCUGAGUCUCAGUUUCCUCAUCUGAAACAUGAGAAUAAUGUUCUAUCUGUAUCACAGGACUGUUAUAAGCAUCAAAUUAAAUAAUUGAAAACAAGUGCUUCUUAGUCAUAAAAUACUAUGUAUAAAACAGGCAUUUUUUUUUUUUUUGAAAUCUUUGUAUUUCCUUUAAUUGACAUGAACUGAAUCUCUCUCCAAAACAGCAUCCUAAGGGAUGGUAGAGGUAGAGCAAACUAGGGCUAUUGCCCUUGGAUUAAUGUGUGAUCUGUGGUAUGACGUGGUAUGGCAAAGUAUGACAAGGACCUUGGAAGUAGCAGCUUAGGCCCAGAAGUAGAAAGUUGAGGUUCUUCUCCAGCACAAAGAAUGCCCUGACCCUCAAAGGACAGGGAUGGACUGUCUGGCAAAAGCCUCAGUGCAGAAAAUAUGAUUUUCCUGUGACAAUCUUCACAAAUAAGAGUAACAACAAAACCUAUGGCUGUUGAUAUCAUUAUAAAAAUGUACAAAACAUGGAGAAUAAACAAGGUGAAAUAGUGAUCAAAGAAUCAUAGAUUUGGAACCAGGAUCUAGUCCAGCCCCUUUGACAGGUCACUUGCCCAAAGAACAUAGAGGUAGUAAAUUAUAGAGUUGGGGAAGUUAGAUAAUACAGUAGAUAGAGCACUAGCCCAGAAGUUAGAAGAACUUGAGUUCAAAUGUGACCUCAGACAAUUAACAUUUACUAGCUGUGUGACCCCAGGCAAGUCAAGUACCCAGUUGCUUCAAACCCUCCCCCUCAAAAAAAAGUAAAUGGCAGAGUUAACAUUCAAACCCAGCUCCUGACUCCAAAUCAUUCUUUCUACUAUAUGACGCUUCUUCCUCUUAACAGAUGCAGAUUUUCAUAUAUAUACUACUGAAGCUAGUUGUCUAUGAUAGAUGUUGUGAUUGUUCAGUCAUUUUAAGUGUAUCUGACUUUUAUCAAAGAUACUAGUUUGGUAUUUCCUUUCCCAGCUCAUUUUAAUGAUAAAGAAACUGAGACAAAUAAUUAGUAAAUUAGUGUCAUAUAAUUAGCAGCUGAGACUGGUUUUGAACUCACUUCUUCCUAACUCCAAGUGCUCUAUCCACCCACUUAGCUAGGUUCAAUGCUCAGAUACAUAAUCUCUGUAAACCUGUUUUCUCACCUACAAGGGAAUUAGAUUAGAUGGAUCCCAGAAUUCUAGGGAUCCUUCCAGCCCUAAAUUCUGUGAUCUUACAACUCAUUAAUGAAAUAUGGCUAUGAAGAAUUUAAAGUUUUUUUUAUUUGAACCUGUGAUUUCAUCAGUUACAAUGAAUUCUCAAUGUGGGGACUCUUCACCAAAGCAGAUUCUUAUUUGUAAUCUUAGCCAGUUGCCUAGGCACCAAGAGGGUGAGUGACAUGCCAUUCAUGACACAAGUAGAUUGAUUGAUUCUAUCAGAAGUAGUACUUGAACCUAGCAUUUUUCUGACUCCACAGCCAUCGUGAUCUCCAUUACAUCAUGCUUCCUCUCACACAGAAAGAUACACUUCAUUCAAAAAGAAGAGACAAAAGAAGUGAUUAAAUAAUGCUAUUAUUAGAACAGACUUAAUGCAUCUCUACAUUCUAGCCAAACUGGAGUCUGAGUUAUUCCCUGAAUUCUAUGUUCUAUCUCUCACCUUUAUAUAUCUUCAAAUAUAUCUUUAAAGAUCAGCUAAACUACUCUCAGGGAACACACACAUAUCUCAUACAGAGUUAUUAGGAUUAUUUUUCCUUGAGUUAUUUUGUAUACAUGUUGUAUCUCCCCAUUAGAAUUUAAGCACUUACAGAAGAGGUACUAUUUUGGUUUUGUCUUUGUAUAACAAAUCUAGCACAAGACCUGUCAGUAGUAGGUACUUCUGCAUGGUUUAUUUGUUUUGUUCUUUGUUUACCUGAGAUUUCUUUGAGUUAGGAAAUCUCCCACAAACAAUGCAGAGCAGCAAUUAUUCUGCAUCUUAAAGUCUUACCAAGUAUUCCUGUCUCUAAGACUAUAAUUUCACACCAUUUCCAUUUAUUUAAUUGAAUUGAAUAUGUUGCAAGAAGAAAAAUAGGACUGGUAUUGUCAUGGAAGUAGAUUAUAAACCAUUCUGACAGAGAAGGACGUGGAUGAUCAGUUUGGGAAAGAUAUCAUAAAAUGAACAGAGAAUGGCAUACAAUGAUUGGAAAUGCUUGACUUGCUUUGAUGCUAGUUUUAUUUUUCAAUAUAAAGAUUUGAUUCUGACCAAAAAGGAGGAACUUGUUGCCACAAUAAAACUGAUUUUAAAUGA